GAUCCUCUCUUCCUUCUCCUUCUAGCUAUCUCGUUUUGAUCGGUGGAGGAAGAUUUGAAGGUGUUUGAGACUGUGAACAGUACCGUGAACAGUAACUCUCGAAUUCUUGGGUUCUUGUUUGAUUUUUCUGGAUAUUCCUACUUGAAUUUGGUUGUUGUUGCAGGUUUAGAGAUAGUUGUGUGGGUUAUGAAGUUGAUUUUGGAAUAAAUGGGUUGAUUGGAAUUGAAUUUAAUCUUUAAGUUUGUGUUAAAUUUGAAAUUGUUGGAUAUUGAGGUUUUGUUGGUUUUGGAUUGUUGAACAUGGUUGUUGGAUUUGUCAUGUUGGUAGUGUUGGGUGAAUUCUCUUGUUAAAGGACUAUUGUGAAUUAUUUGUUAGGUAGUAGAGUGAAUUUGAGAAGGUGGAGUUGGAAUCGUGAAUUAGAAAAAGGGAAAAAUUAAGAAUGAUUGUGGAAAUUUUUGGAAGGAUUUAUAUUAUCGAUUGUUAUCGAAAGGUUCUUGUGAAGAUUUAA
rnacentral:lncRNA from 1 species